CUGCUUGCUUACGGUUUCGCUCGGGCAACCGAGCGGGAUCGGGCACGCUACCCUUGCUUAUGUAUACCUAUUGUUAUUCCCUCGGCGGGGAGACUCGCCGCUGGGAUCACAUAAACCCUUUUGUAUGAAGCAUCAAACCUUCUGAAAACAAACUAAAUAAUCA
rnacentral:misc_RNA from 1 species